rnacentral:sRNA from 1 species
GUCGGGAGGGGCCGGCGAAGAAAACGAGCGGCGGGCGAACCGAAAAAAGGCUCGACGCUACCGUGUAUGAGGAACUUUGAUCCUUGCGGGCCACCAUUCCGGAAGUAGAAUUUAGAGGAAGAAAAUACCGGAGUUGCAGGGUAUAGGUAAAUUUCUCAAGGUUAUAGGUUGGGGUUCUUAGAACUUUUUGUGGUGUGUGUUGGCCUAGAGCGACUCAGAAGCGUUAGUGACUUCACCUAAAAAAGCUAACCUCUCUGCUGAGCGCGACCGGUGUGCGGCGCAGGAUGAGCCUCAGGGCUUCUGUUAAGAGUCCGUCUGAGAAAGCCGGUCUGCGCUGUUCCUCGGUGGCGACCUUAAUUAUGAGAUGAGCUAAUGCUUUACUGACUUAACCAUGGCGCAGCGGGCAGUGUGGCUCAUAAGCCACGAACCGGGAACUCCACUUUGUGGCACCGUGAGAUUCUCCAGACGGUAUCCAACUGUUGAAAAACGAGCCAGAGUCUUCAAUGGAGCAAGUUAUGUGCCUGUUCCUGAAGAUGGUCCCUUUCUUAAAGCACUGCUCUUUGAACUUAGAUUAUUGGAUGAUGAUAAAGACUUCAUUGAGAGUCGUGAUAGCUGUUCACGCAUCAAUAAAACAUCCAUUUAUGGACUCCUGAUAGGAGGUGAAGAACUCUGGCCAGUUGUUGCUUUUCUGAAGAAUGACAUGAUAUAUGCUUGUGUUCCACUAGUUGAACAAACUCUGUCCCCUCGUCCGCCAUUAAUUAGUGUCAGUGGAGUUUCACAAGGCUUUGAAUUUCUUUUUGGGAUACAGGAUUUUCUUUAUUCAGGUCAGAAAAAUGACUCUGAGCUGAAUACAAAAUUGAGCCAGUUGCCUGACUUGCUUCUGCAGGCUUGUCCAUUUGGUACUUUAUUAGAUGCCAACUUACAGAAUUCAUUAGAUAAUACCAAUUUUGCAUCUGUGACUCAGCCACAGAAACAGCCAGCUUGGAAAACUGGGACGUACAAAGGAAAACCACAAGUUUCUAUUUCUAUCACUGAAAAGGUAAAAUCCAUGCAAUAUGAUAAACAGGGUAUAGCAGAUACAUGGCAAGUUGUUGGAACAGUGACUUGCAAGGUGAGAUUUUUCUCUGGUAUUUGCUUUAUCGUUUUAUUUAACAUAUGGAGAAAAGUUAAAUUUGCUAGUUGUAUUUUAAAUAACAUUUUUUAUUUUCAUCUUAAGCAGCAGUUUUUAAAUGGGAGAGUCAUGUAAAAUUUUAUGUUAUCUUUUUGCAUUCCUUACCAAUUAUAUUAGUUAUCUGUGGCUGUGUAAAGAAUUGUCUCAUUGUCCCCAAAAUAGACAUUUAUUAUUUUCAUAGUUUCUGUAGGGAUUAGCUUAGCUGGGAACUUUCAGGGUAGAAUCACUCAUGAAGUUGCAGUCAAGUUUUCAGUUGAGGCUAUAGUCAUCUGAAGGUCUGACUGAGGCUGGAAGAUCUGCUUGCAAGAUGACUCAUUCACAUGGCUAACAAGUUGGUCCUAGUUAUUGGAGGAAGGCCUUAGUUCCUUUCCACAUGGACUUCUCAACUGGCUGCUUAAGUGUCCUCACACUUGGUGACUGGCUUCCCUCAGACCAGAUGAUGAGAGAGGGGUGGGGGGGGAGAGAGAGAGGAGAGAGAGAGAGAGAGAA